GCAGAGCAUCCUACGGGAGGCAGCAGUGGGGAAUAUUGCACAAUGGGCGCAAGCCUGAUGCAGCCAUGCCGCGUGUAUGAAGAAGGCCUUCGGGUUGUAAAGUACUUUCAGCAGUGAGGAAGGUGGGUAUGUUAAUAGCAUACUCAUUUGACGUUAGCUGCAGAAGAAGCACCGGCUAACUCCGUGCCAGCAGCCGCGGUAAUACGGAGGGUGCGAGCGUUAAUCGGAAUUACUGGGCGUAAAGCGCAUGCAGGUGGUUUGUUAAGUCAGAUGUGAAAGCCCCGGGGCUCAACCUCGGAAUUGCAUUUGAAACUGGCAAACUAGAGUACUGUAGAGGGGGUAGAAUUUCAGGUGUAGCGGUGAAAUGCGUAGAGAUCUGAAGGAAUACCGGUGGCGAAGGCGGCCCCCUGGACAGAUACUGACACUCAGAUGCGAAAGCGUGGGGAGCAAACAGGAUUAGAUACCCCUCGUAG
rnacentral:rRNA from 1 species